AGGGGAAAGUCUAUUAAAAAAAAAAAAAUCAGGAGCAUCUCUCUGAGAAGCCCUUUCAAACAAAAUCAAAACAGGACCAGAGAACCUCAGACCGUCCCUAACAUCCCUGCGGCGAGGGCCGCGGGCUGUGGAAUCUCGCAAGUCACCUGGCCCCAGUAGGGCGGCCAGCUGAGGGGUUCAUUUUAUUUUAUUUUAUUUUAUUUUAUUUUAUUUUAUUUUAUUUAUGAAGUUAAGGCUGAAUCUCGGCUUCAGUGCUUUUGCCAACGUCUCCAUUGACAGGAACCGGCAAACUUCAGGACUUAAAUGAGCGUCUUAAUUUAUUGAUGCAAAACAGAAAGCUUCACAUGUGAGAGAAAUGCACUCAAAGACUCCUCACAAGUAGCUCUUUGGAGCAUCAGAUGUGAAAUGGAUCAUUCCUCAAUCUGUAAUAGACCCUUCUGUGAAGCUCUUCAAUCAAACCUGAGAAUUCAAGGUUUGCAUUUAAAACACUCUUGGAGCACUAAUUGUAUAAAAUUCUGGUAACCGCACAUCCUCUUUUUAGAGAGGUAAUGAGAGAAUGAAUGAAAAGGCAGGGAUUAUUUGCCAUUCUAGGCGGGGAUUGUCAGAAGAUUUCUACUUGACUGAAAUCGUUUUGGAAGAUAUAUGUGGCUGAUUGUCAUUGCCAUGAGGUCAGAGGGAGACAGCCGCCUAUGCAAUGUGAUUUCAAGAACCUGGAAAACCCCAUGUGUCCUCCAAGUGUCUCCCUCACUAACCAUGGCACCUGACUCUCAACUUUCCAAGCUCUCCCACUCCUUUCAUGUUGAUGGGUCCCAAGUGAGACUGAUGUAGUUCUUUAGUCUCUAAAGCUGGAUCUGACUCGUAUUCUGGGAAGAAUCCCGGAUAUGCCACAGGCAGUUAGAUUGUGAUAUGGAAAUAUUGAGAAUUGAAAUGGAUGCUACAUGAGAAAUUAUCCUGAAUUCUUAAAUUCAUGGGAAAGUUUUGGCUCCAGAGGACAGGACUUGGUUUUUCUUAUCCAGGGACGCAAAUUCAGUGCCCAGCAAAGAGCUGUGAGUGUAGCAGGUGCUCAAUAAAUCCUUGUUAAGCAGAUAAAGAAUGAAUGAAAAGAGUGGGAGUGAGGAUGGCUUGAGUAAUGGGUGGAAGCUUAUGUUUUAUCCAUUAAAUGAAGUAGAUUGUGGAAUAAGUCAUGUGGAUAGUUUUUCUAAUUAUGUUUUCUAUUUCAACAAUUAACCAAGUUGCGUUCUUCUUUGCAUACCAGCUUAUUAAUGGUGGGUAGGUGGACUAAAAGCCUUUUGUGUUGCAGGAGGAAAACAAGCCUGAGAUUUAAAAGAAAAAAAAAAGGUCUUAGUUAAUCCACAGGGUGGGUGAGAGCUCAGCCAGAAUGCUCUUUGGAAUCCAGACAAUUCAUUGACAGUAACACUCGGGUACAAGUGUUGGGGAGGUCAGAUGAGAUGAGUUUGUGACAUGUGCAGUCACUCUUGGUGUGUUUGAUUUCCGACAGUAUUUCGUGCUGACAUUUCAAUUUGAAUGGGAAAUGACCUCCUUGUUCCCAGUUCCUUUUCUAGCCAGUAUAGGAUUGCUCCUUCGAUAAAUAUUGGUAGAUUUUGUUCACCAUGGUUCCCCAGGAUCUUCACAGACAGAGUUUACACGUUUAUUUUCUAGUAGAAAUAGUGAUUUCAAGGCAAGGAAAAGGGUGUAGGAACUAUUUAAUUUUACUUUUUAAAAGGAAUACCUUCCUGGCAAAUAAGCAAGUAAAUAAGCAAGCCGGCUCAACAGCUUCCUUGGAAGAGUCAGCAGCGGCAGGGAUGGGGGAAUUCCUUUGGCCAGCCUUAGCUUCCCCAUGCUUUUCUCACACUUGUGUUGGCACAGUUGGUGGAGUUUAUUAUUAGCGGUGUAUCCUACAAGCCAUUCAUUCAUGGAAUAUGGCCCUGGGGGAGGACUCUUCGUGUGAAAAUAAAAUUGUCCUUGUUUUUCAUUCACUUGGGGGCAUCUCACAUAAUGGAAGAACAUCCUUAAAUAGAAAGACCUCAAUUCAGAAAAAAAGAAUCGAAAGGUGAGGAGAGAGAGAGAUGUUCUCAGUGGAAUCAGCUUGAGCUGAAAAAUUAAGAUUUUGUUUUGUGCAAUGCUAGUGCCUUGCCAGUCUCAAGCUGGCACUGUGGGCUCGCUGGAGCUGCUGAGCCCGAGCCGAGGCGAGGAGACAGUUUGCUUCGAUUGUAUUGCUCAGCCUCACCGUGAGUCUCAAUAUGUGUUUGAUUUUGUGUUUUAAAAAUAAGGUGAACGAUCUCGAAACGAAAUCAUUGCAGGCGAUUUUGUUCCCUGCUUUUUCUAAUGGACAAUUAAAAAGCAAUCCUGGUCCUAUUCCAGAGAUUUUCUCAUUUCUUAGUGCGACUGUAAUUUAGCACAUAUAAUAGUGCGCUGGAAUUAUUAGAUAUUAUCAGGUUUAUUUGCGAAAAUGUGUGACACACCUUCUUUGUAUUCUUUUUGAGGAAAUGUCCUGGAAUGUCCUAGUUCCUUUUUGUGCCUGUCAUACGGUGUAUGUUAGAAUUUAAGUCCUUAGGAAUAAGAAUAGCAUUUCUUUUUUUUGUGGGAAAGCGUAAUGAUUUUGAGCUUUGAGGAGUUUCAAUGGACUAUUGUUGCCUUUUUUUUUUCACAACGCUCCUACCCACCAAGUCCCACUGUGACACACUUCCUACCCCCAAUGGCAGAUAUUUAUAUUUCAAACUAAAUGAAACUAUAAUAAAUUUUCUUCUGAAAAAUUUUUGGAAUUUUGUCUUUGAGAUCUAUGAGGUAAUUGGAGAAACCCCAGGCUAUCAGAAAACCAGGGCUGGGAAUCACUGCUUUCAUGAUUAGCACUUUGUAAGCCUUCAAAAAUUAUUAAAACCAGUAUAGAUUGUCUAAUUUCUGGUGGGUGAAUUCACUUUAGUAUAAUGUAACGUGUUAACAAAUGUUCAGAGAGGACGUUGUGGAUCCAGAAAGAUGGCUUUUGCAGAAGGCUUUUAUCCAAAUUAAUUCAAAGAAUAACAGGAGUAGUUGUGUAUCGGGGCAGAAGGAAUAAGGUGACUCAAUUAAAUGAUUGAGAAAUCUCCAGGAAAAAAAAAUGUCUCAUGUCAACCCAAUACCAACAAUAGAAUUCUCAUUACUAAAAUCAAUAAUCCUGUAAUAAAUGUAUAAUAACUUCAAAAACGAUUCUUUUAUUAAAUAUUUUUGUAUGAUUGGCUAUGCACCAAAUAUUGAAAGCAAAUACUGCUUUUCUUUACUUUAAGGAUGACCAAGUUCUCUUCUAUGUCUCUAAGAGAAUCUCAAGUGAGAAGGGUCCAAAGGGUAAUUUGCAAAUAAAUUCACCUGCUGAAUUUGUGCCUAGACCUACUAGAUUCACCUAAUUCAUUUUUGGUUUUUGCUGAGCUCUAGCCAUGGUGUCAUACUGAGAAAUUCAUGCCAAGUUCUCCUGGGUUGCUGGAAUGUGAAUAAGGAAGGGUAGCUCAAGCCCCAGGCUUUGGGUCCCCCUCAGUGGGGGUCUUUGGAGUUGGUCUCCGGCAGUGCCUGAAGAACCUUGGUCUGGCUAAUUGGUACUGCUAGUCUGUUGCCAUUUCACGAAGCCAGAAAAGCAGUGUGGUCCCUUUCCACAUUCAGAGUUGAGCCCAACACACUAGUAGUCCUGGACUGAGAGAGUUCAGUUUCCGUCAAUUUUGACACUAUCACUUAGAUCGGCUUUUAGAGGUAGAUUAAGGACAUUUCUGUAGUGUUCACAGAUAUACAAUUCACGGACCUACAACUGUAUAUGCAGUUUGAAAAGAAAUUUGCUUAAGUAAACAGGUAGAUGGAGAGAGGAUAUGCUGUCCUGAAAACACUUCUGUUUUGUCAUUUGGCAGGGAUGUCUGGUUUGGGCUUCCUGAGUUUUUGCCUGGUGUUCUGCAGGGAAAUUUGCAUUCCAAAAGAUAGGCCAGCCUGCCUUCCUGCUUCUGAAACCUCUAGAAGGUGCUCUGAUAUAAUAGAGGAUCCCCUCAGCCUGUUUCAAGAGAUAAUCCCCUACCACCUGGUUACUCCAGGUCAUAUCUGGUUAACACUCUAGGUGUCUUGCAUAUAUUUUCCUUAUAACUUUUUCUGAGGAAUAAGGGCCCUACUUCCUUUAAAAAAGGAUGUCAAAUAUACCUUAAUAAGGCUUAAAAAACAGAGAGAGAGAGUUUAUCUAAUGUUAUUUGGAAAAGAAUCUCCUUCGUUUUUUCUCUUUUGUGAUAUGCUCCAUGAUUUUUAUUAUUUUGGAGAUUUUUUUUUAUUGCAGUAACAUUGGUUUAUAACAUCAUGUAAAUUUCACGUGGACAUCAUUACCUUUUCAUUUUUAACCUUUCCUUAUCUUUAGUAUCGAGCCCUACAGGUACAAACCCAAGCGAAGAACUGCUUCCCACCCACAGUGAUGCUGUGCUCCUGAAGGUCCCAGCCUCUGCACACUUUUCCUUUCGUUCAUUUUUUUCUCACUGUAGUGAAAUUUUCAUUCCUGUAGUUUACCUCUUAGCUCCCCCUUAUUUUUCUAUUUAUAUCUCAUAUUUUAGGACUUGCUUGGAGUGCAAAAUGUGUUGCAAACUUGAGAGAGAACAGAACUAGAUAAGUUCAUGAAAUAUUGCCCUUUCUUUCCUAUUCUAGAAUUACUUAGAACGGGAGCAAUGGAACUUUUUGGAUCGGUCCUGUUCUGCUUUGGGCUACUUAGGCUUCUGCUAUAUGGCUCAGGUCAUGGGCACCAGAUGCCAAUGGUACUAAGGUCAAGGGUUUGAUCCUCACUUGGGCUGGUUUGCUGCAUACUUUUCCAAUAGGUUGUAUGGAGAUUCAGUUCCGUCACUGCAGAAAUGCUAAUCAUAAAGGGGAUUGGUGAACUUAUGAGUGACCAGGUGAAUAUCCAGCCCCAUUCCUGCAAAAACAAAGUCUGUGCCCUACUGUCAUUUUUGCAUUUGGACAGAGCGUGCCACUUAAAACAUGAGCUUGUUACUCAACCUCCCUGCCUCUCUGUUUCCUCAUCUGUAGAAUGGAGAUAAGACGUGCUCCCUUUUUACCUCACCAGGACCUGUGAAGAUUAGAUAAUGGCUGUAAAGUCAAAGGUAUAAGCAUUAUCACGAACAAGGAGAUUAGUCAACAAAUGAAAAAAAAUUUAAGGGACCCCCCAAAGUGUAUUGCUCAAUACUUUUUGAAUCAAUAUGAGCAGUUUGCAGUCCAAUCCAUUCUGUUUGGUUGAGCUGCAAAAAGUUAGGUGUGAAUGUUUGACCUUUCUAUUUAUUUGAAAGGUUAAAAAAGCUGUUUGAUAAUGAACAUUUAUAUUAAGAAAAAUAAAGUGGGCUUUGAAUCUGAAACAGGUUUUAUCUGAAAAACAAGGUGAAGACGAAGGUCUCUAGGAACAUGCGUGCCACUGAGGAGUAUUUGCAUACAUUUGAUCUGCGACAUGCCUCAGUGACUUUCACAGUGUACCUUGGAGUUUAAGCUGUAGCAAAGAGCCACUGCCAGGGCUCGGCAGCAGAGUUCCUUCUCUCCAGCUUUAUUGUGGCACACAGCGACAACUUCAUUUUUAGAAUUAAAAAAAAAAAAGUCCUCUUCACUUAAUUCAGACAGUGACCUGCAGGCCUCAUUCCGACUGAAGGAGCCAUUCAGAAUACUUCCAGACAAAAGCAGGGCUUUUUCCUAGCAACCAGAUCAAAGCCAAAUCUCCCAGAAUAGCUCGCUCCCAGGUUUCCUUUGGUGCAUAGGUUCACAAGGAUUCUAAGGCUCGUGGUAUCCAGUUCAAACUCCUCUUUCAAACUGAAAUGGAAAGGAAAACUCCUGAGGAAUUCUCACAGACUCUGAAAACUGGUGAGCACUGCAAGUGCACUUAAUCUUGGGAGAACACGGUGGUCAUUUGGAGCAUCCCUAACUUUGUUAUCGCCUGCAUCUGCAUGUACAUUCUGUCGGACUCCCACAGAAUGAGGUCUCUGUUUCCUUUCUGCCAGUACCUAAUAUCAGCUAUGCCCAGGAGCCGGCUGAUGAAGACUUCCUGUUUGUUUUGAGUCACUGUUAGAGUGAUAAAUAUACUUUAGCUUUCUGCUUAGAGAGGAAAGAAACCAGCUGCCCUGAACUAAAGAGCAAAAUGCAGAAAUUCCACUGAAUGGCCCUGUUAUCAUGGAGUUUUCAAGGGCAGCAUCAAAAUGAAAACUAUAAGCCUUGGCAAAGUAAAUAAUUUCCAUAUUAAAGCAUCUUGCUGCAUGCAUAGUCCUAAGUUGUUUGUCUUUAAUCAUUUAGGCGAACGAUGCAUUUUUCACUCUUCUAAGACUAACUCGGCAAUGUUUAGAAAUUUUUAAAAAUGUAAACUUACACUACAGAGUAAUGGUGAGCUAUAUAAAUAAACAAUUACAGUUGUGGUUUUUUGAUCUGACCACAAGCUUUUAAUGCCAUUUUUGCAUGAACAUAUAAUGCUUCUGGAUAAACAGUAAUGUUGACAUUGUCAGUGGCAUCCACUGUUGUAUGGAGUCAUUUACAUACAUGAUUAUUUGGAUAUAGAGUAACCCAAGAACAAAAGAAUACUAUUAAAAUUAUUUAGAACAAGAACAACAGGAAAUCCUUUAUAGCUUAAAUAGCACUUCUUAAAUAAAACUGUGGAGUUUUUGUGUUUUGAUCUCAUUUUUAUCCUUUUGUUUUGAACAGGUCUUGGAUUUGAUGACUGGAGUGUCCUUUGAGUGGAAUUUCUGUCUUAACUCUGCUCUGGAGGACAGCGAGUUUAGGAAGCCUUGCUGAUCUGAAUGUCUUGACCACUGCAUUCUGGCUUCUGUCUUUUUUUUUACAGCUGAGGUUAGACUUAACUCCGGAAGUUGUGAAUUGGAAAAGAUGGCAGCAACUGGCACGUGCUUGGAGUGGGUAGAAAUUGCUUAUUUCCUCGCAGAGCUAUGGGUUCUUAAAACAAUUUCUAAUAGCAGCAGCAGAAGAAUUUACUAACAAUCCACAGUGUCUUUUUUGUCCAGGAUAAAGGAAAUGUUUAAUAAACAAAUUCAAAAUAAAGUUAGCGUUAACAUUUUGUGCUGUCAAAUUAGUGAUGUGGAUGUGGAGGCAGGGUGGUGUGCAUUGGCCUUAUGACAAUCUAUCUGGUCGUGUUUGUAAACUGAGGCUUGAAAAUGCACAUGAAUUAUUUCUAUCAAGAAAGUUCCCCAACACGUUGGAGUCAGUGGUUGGGACAUUGAGACGGGGGCUUCCUGGGUGAGAGAAUCACGGUGCUAAAGGCUUGAUGGAGGCUGGGUCCUUAUCAUUUAAAAGCUCACAUUUAAAAAAUUUGUGUGACAUUGGCAACUCAUAAAGGAGGACGUGCAUUUAGAAAUGCUUGACACAUUAGCUACAACAAAGCCAAAUAUGUGUUCUCACUUUACUCACACAAGGAAGAAGAGAAAAAAACAUUUUUGAACAUGAUUGAGGAUGGAAGGAUUCAAGUACUGAAUAAUAUAUUUUCUGUCAUAAUAGAGACCUGUAUGGGCGUGAAUUUAGACGGAAUAGAAUCAGAGAAUGGCUGGAUUUAGAGGAGAGGGAAGAAACUAGCGAAGCCAGCAGUUUCUGUGGGUAGCAAAGAAGGGUAUAAAACAAAUUUAUGAGAUAAUUUUUAUUUGCAAA